AUCUUCUAGGCCGUCCCAAGUCUCUUAUUUGUGCAGCGAGGAACUAGCGCUAGGAGCUAGCAGCAAGCUUUAAGCAGCUACGAGCUAGGAUGGUCCAAAGCCCUUGAAUAGAGAGUCGCGUCAUCUCUAUUCACUCUAAUGGGCCAUUUUUUCACAGCAAUGGCGGUUCGCGGAGCCUCUCAAUAGUUCCCGGAAGUAAGCGGCACAUGUUAGCAGCGCAAUGGAGUUACAGCAGAAAAGACCGGCUGUGUUGUACUUCUAACGGGAGCACUGGGUGGUGGCCGAGCAGUGAUGCUGCAGGACCACUGUGUGAGAGAGGACGCUGCAGAACAACAGGGGGAUGCAAUGGAGCCUGAACUCACCCCGCAAUGAAACAGCCCCCUUACCCUGAGUCUCAACUCCCUGGGUUUUGCAAGCCUUUCUCUGUUCCUUAUUUUUAAUAAACCAAACACUGAGCUUCCCAA